rnacentral:lncRNA from 1 species
CUUGUAAUACGACUAUGUUUCAAUUCAUGGGCUAGAUGAUAAAACAAUGCCAUUUUUCUUUUUAAGAGACUCCUAUUCCCUUCAUCUUUUGAUCUCUCUAGGGUCACUACUGUGAUAAAUUCAAGAAUACUGAGUGUGCUUCAUCCAAAAGGGCCAUAGCUACUGUUGUGAGGAAGUCUAAGGGUCCACUGAAGCAGCCCCUUUGCUGCUCUUGCUGCUGUUCCCACUGUUGGGUCCUCAGGGUGCCAGGCAGCUGUGAAAAUUUGACAGGACAAUUUUUGAGGCCAUUUGGAAGAUAGCCUGGGACGAAUCUGGGAAAAGACCAAGGUUCCUGGCUCUGAUCUUUGGAGACUCCAGAUUUUCUGGAUCAAGGCUAGAUUCUAGGGACUUGUGAGAAGACCAGAAAUGUCUUCUCUUUUCAGUGUAAAGACCAUAAUGUUAAAGAUAUUAACAAAUGUGCCGUAAUCUAUUCCUUGCCAUAAAGUUAUCUGCAAUUUACCAUUAAACUGUUUUUCACCCUUUGAGCUUCA